CGAAGGUGCCGUCCUUCCUCCCCAGCAGCAGUGUGUCCGGCAGGGAGCAGAGAAAGUCGGUCUCGCUCCCCAGCAGCGGGGCAAUAUAUUAAAAGGGGAGACAGUUGGUUCCCCUCUCCAACAGCAGAGAGAGUGUCAGGGAGAGGAACUUGUUAUCUCCUCUCCCCAGCGGUUAAAAGUAUGUAUGGGAGAGGAGCUUGUUACCUCCUCUCCCCAGCGGCUGAAAGUAUGUAUGGGAGAGGAGCUUGUUACCCCCCUCUCCCCAGCAGCAGCUUAGCCCACCAAGGGGAGACAGUAAUCUCCACAAAAGUGCAG